CUGGGAGCUGCGAGGGCUGGACUCACAGUCCUCCACCGCCCGGCCUUUGCUGUCUCAUGAAUCCAGAAAUGUAGCCACUUUCUCAUCUUCUCCAGAGCUUCUUCAUAUCUGGUAGCUGUUGGGUUAGUACCUUUCGAGCAGCCUCAUAUACAGGGUGACUUCUAUCAAUUAAUUCUUGAUUGUGAAAUAAACUUUUAUCACUAAGCAAUUCUUCAGGAUUUUCUCCUUAAUGAAAGUAAUUCCAAAGAAGUUAUACUUGAAGACAAAAAAAGAUCUGGAAGACAGUAGGGCAUUAAAUAAUGAGGGUCAUAUCCAAGAAAUCAUCUACAAUUCCAAAAGAGUCUUCACUACACAGAUCUUUCUCCCAGAUGGUUAUUCCAGGAAAAAUCAUGGGCCAAGGAGAUCCUUCUGAGUUCUGUGCUAUGCUGGACUUGGAAGAAAGUGGUGUAGGAAAGGUUCUUCUUACCCUCUAUUUUUGGAUUUUUCUCUGCUUUUGUACUUUAGGAAGGAGGAUCCAGAAUCACUAAAGGGAGGAUUCCAGCACCUAACAAAGCCCUCUCCCAGGAGCUGUCAUUCCAGAAUACCAACUGACUACAUGGUUUGCAGACGUUGGAGUCACCAAGACAGAUCGAAUACACAGGCACUGGGAGAAGCAUUGUUUUAUUCACGUAGAGAAGUGAUAGGUUGCAGCAUGACUAUAUCCCCUUGAGGGUGCUUUGUCUCUCUCCCUGAUGAGAGAGAUGCACCCCCAGGCAACC